rnacentral:sRNA from 1 species
AUCUAGCCCCGAUAGCAGAGAAAAACCUUUUGUGCUCCCGGGUCGGGAACAUAAAAGUUUGAAGCGAAUAGCGGGACAAGUG